GGGGCUGUGGCUCAGUGGUAGAGCAUCUGCUUGUUAAGCAGAAGGUCCCAGGUUCGAUCCUCGGCAUCUCCA